rnacentral:rRNA from 1 species
AGAGUUUGAUCCUGGCUCAGAACUAACGCUGGCGGCGCGUCUUAAACAUGCAAGUCGAACGGUAGUCCCUGAGCUUGCUUAGGGAUGAGAGUGGCGAACGGGUGAGUAACACGUGGAUAAUCUGCCUCCGGGUUGGGGAUAACUGUCCGAAAGGGCAGCUAAUACCGAAUGAGAUGGUGGUUACAUAAGUAGCAGCCAUUAAAGGUGGGGACCGCAAGGCCUACUGCCUGGAGAUGAGUCCGCGGCUGAUUAGCUUGUUGGUGGGGUAACGGCCUACCAAGGCGACGAUCAGUAGCCGGCCUGAGAGGGUGAACGGCCACAUUGGGACUGAGAUACGGCCCAGACUCCUACGGGAGGCAGCAGUUAAGAAUCUUGCACAAUGGGCGCAAGCCUGAUGCAGCGACGCCGCGUGAAUGAUGAAGGCCUUCGGGUUGUAAAGUUCAGUAAGCAGGGAAGAAUAAGCAAGAGGUAAUAUUUCUUGUGAUGACGGUACCUGCCUAAAGCCCCGGCUAACUACGUGCCAGCAGCCGCGGUAAUACGUAUGGGGCGAGCGUUGUUCGGAAUUAUUGGGCGUAAAGGGCGUCUAGGCGGGAAAUUAAGUUAGGUGUGAAAGCUAUGGGCUCAACCCAUAAACUGCAUCUAAAACUGAUUUUCUUGAGUUCGGGAGAGGAGAGCGGAAUUCCAGGUGUAGCGGUGAAAUGCGUAGAUAUCUGGAAGAACACCAGUGGCGAAGGCGGCACUCUGGCCUAGAACUGACGCUGAAGCGCGAAAGCGUGGGGAGCGAACAGGAUUAGAUACCCUGGUAGUCCACGCUGUAAACGUUGUAUACUAGGUGUUAGUGGCUUGUCCACUAGUGCCGCAGCAAACGCAUUAAGUAUACCGCCUGGGGAGUACGCCCGCAAGGGUGAAACUCAAAUGAAUUGACGG